UACGAAGGGGGCUAGCGUUGCUCGGAAUGACUGGGCGUAAAGGGCGCGUAGGCGGAUGGCACAGUCAGAUGUGAAAUUCCUGGGCUUAACCUGGGGGCUGCAUUUGAUACGUGUGAUCUAGAGUGAGGAAGAGGGUUGUGGAAUUCCCAGUGUAGAGGUGAAAUUCGUAGAUAUUCGGAAGAACACCAGUGGCGAAGGCGACGUACUGGACACAUAUUGACGCUGAGGUGCGAAAGCGUGGGGAGCAAACAGG
rnacentral:rRNA from 1 species